rnacentral:rRNA from 1 species
UUACCAUGCAGUCGAACGGCAGCACGGGGGCAACCCUGGUGGCGAGUGGCGAACGGGUGAGUAAUACAUCGGAACGUGUCCUGUAGUGGGGGAUAGCCCGGCGAAAGCCGGAUUAAUACCGCAUACGCUCUACGGAGGAAAGGGGGGGAUCUCAGGACCUCCCGCUACAGGGGCGGCCGAUGGCAGAUUAGCUAGUUGGUGGGGUAAAGGCCUACCAAGGCGACGAUCUGUAGCUGGUCUGAGAGGACGACCAGCCACACUGGGACUGAGACACGGCCCAGACUCCUACGGGAGGCAGCAGUGGGGAAUUUUGGACAAUGGGCGAAAGCCUGAUCCAGCAAUGCCGCGUGUGUGAAGAAGGCCUUCGGGUUGUAAAGCACUUUUGUCCGGAAAGAAAACCUCCGCCCUAAUAUGGUGGGGGGAUGACGGUACCGGAAGAAUAAGCACCGGCUAACUACGUGCCAGCAGCCGCGGUAAUACGUAGGGUGCAAGCGUUAAUCGGAAUUACUGGGCGUAAAGCGUGCGCAGGCGGUCCGCUAAGACAGAUGUGAAAUCCCCGGGCUUAACCUGGGAACUGCAUUUGUGACUGGCGGGCUAGAGUAUGGCAGAGGGGGGUAGAAUUCCACGUGUAGCAGUGAAAUGCGUAGAGAUGUGGAGGAAUACCGAUGGCGAAGGCAGCCCCCUGGGCCAAUACUGACGCUCAUGCACGAAAGCGUGGGGAGCAAACAGGAUUAGAUACCCUGGUAGUCCACGCCCUAAACGAUGUCAACUAGUUGUUGGGGAUUCAUUUCCUUAGUAACGUAGCUAACGCGUGAAGUUGACCGCCUGGGGAGUACGGUCGCAAGAUUAAACUCAG